rnacentral:ncRNA from 1 species
GCUAAAUGUUUGUAAAAUAUUUUGGUAUUCUAGGGGGGGGGCCGGGCGCGCGCGGGCCCCGGCGGGGCGCCCCGCCGGGCCGGCGUCCCGGCCGUCGGUGAAAUACCACUACUCUGAUCGUUUUUUCACUUACCCGGUGAGGCGGGGAGGCGAGCCCCGAGGGGGGCUCUCGCUUCUGGCGCCAAGCGCCCGGCGCGUGCCGGGCGCGACCCGCUCCGGGGACAGCGGCAGGGGGGGAGGUUGGCUGCCGGGGUACACCUGUCAAAGCGUAACGCAGGUGUCCUAAGGUGAGCUCAGGGAGGACGGAAACCUCCCAUGGAGCAGAAGGGCAAAAGCUCGCUUGAUCUUGAUUUUCAGUACAGCUACAACACGCCCAAAGGAAGAAUCCCUGAGGAAUCCACAGUGCAUGAACCCUGAGAGCCCUGAGUCAACUGAGAGACCCUGUGUUCCUGUUUGCCUGUUCUUCACUUCGUCUGUGGAGAGACCAGCUGGUUUCCAUUUUCCUAUUUCCUGACUUUUUUGGACUUAUGAAUCGUCUACACAUGGUCUAGUCAUGAGGUCUGUGGUGACAG